UACAGAGGUCUCAAGCGUUGUUCGGAUUCAUUGGGCGUAAAGGGUGCGUAGGUGGCGGGGUAAGUCUGGUGUGAAAUCUCGGGGCUCAACCCCGAAACUGCACUGGAUACUGCCUUGCUAGAGUACUGGAGAGGAGAUUGGAAUUUACGGUGUAGCAGUGAAAUGCGUAGAUAUCGGGAGGAACACCGGCGGCGAAGGCGGCCCUCUGGACGGUGACUGACGCUAAGACGCGAAAGCGUGGGGAGCAAACAGG
rnacentral:rRNA from 1 species